rnacentral:rRNA from 1 species
AGCGAACGCUGGCGGCAGGCCUAACACAUGCAAGUCGAACGGAUCCUUCGGGAUUAGUGGCGGACGGGUGAGUAACACGUGGGAACGUGCCCUUUGGUUCGGAACAACUCAGGGAAACUUGAGCUAAUACCGGAUGUGCCCUUCGGGGGAAAGAUUUAUCGCCAUUGGAGCGGCCCGCGUCUGAUUAGCUAGUUGGUGAGGUAACGGCCCACCAAGGCGACGAUCAGUAGCUGGUCUGAGAGGAUGAUCAGCCACACUGGGACUGAGACACGGCCCAGACUCCUACGGGAGGCAGCAGUGGGGAAUCUUGCGCAAUGGGCGAAAGACUGACGCAGCCAUGCCGCGUGAAUGAUGAAGGUCUUAGGAUUGUAAAAUUCUUUCAGCGGGGACGAUAAUGACGGUACCCGCAGAAGAAGCUCCGGCUAACUUCGUG